rnacentral:lncRNA from 1 species
GACAAGUGAGGUUCUAAACUACACCUCUGCCAUGCCUGUACUGACCUUUGGACCAGGGAGCCCCAUGGGGCCAGCAACUCCCAUUUCACCCUAAAAGAAGAAAGACAACAAAAAAACAGGAAUCUCAAAUCUCAAGACAGACUUCAUCUCUCCAUGGUUCUGUGGUAUUUCAUCCCAUUACUCAUUUUGACAGAAGGAGGGGAAGAUGCACACAUGGCAGACAGGACACAGACAGCUCUGCAAAUGCCAUGAAGGAAGAGAUCCCAGACUGAGGGGGCGGUGCAGGCUCACCCACAAGAAUGUAAUGUCAGGUGCCCAGUCCCACUGCACCAGACCCUGAGAAAAUGGAGAAGCAAGACCUGUGCAAUUGGAGAUGGAGUUGGAUGGGAAUGCAAUGGACUUCUCCAGAAAAGUGGCCUCUGGAGAAGAAUCCCAACUCCUCCAUUCAGCCUUCCACACUUACAAAAUCAAGCCUCUCAGCAGUUAGUUUGAAAAUGUCUCAAUGUCUCUGCAUCUCAGUAUGACCAGGGAUGUUAUGGAAAAAUCAUUCAGCAGGACUAAUUGAUCAGGACAGGCUUGGAACAGAAGCCAGCUGAGCAUAUGGUUAAAAGCACAGAUGUGGGAACCUGAAUGACUGGGUUCAAAUCUCAACCCCUGCUCUUAUUACCUGUCAAAAGAUUUCUCUUUCCUCACCGGACUGUGUGCUGGUGGAGAGCUGUCCUACCUUCAUGGGAACUGAAAGCUGAAACACAUCAGAGGUGAGUAAAGACAGGACCCAGAGCUUCAUUCAGAAGAACACUGAAGGGAACUUCUCAUGAUGAGAUUUUAUUACGUAUCAGACACUGUUCUAGAUGCUUUACAGACCAUUAUUCCAUCUGAUUCUCCCACCAACGGUUCAUGGUAGGUACUCUAUUUUCCAUUUUACAGCUAAGAAAACCAAGACUCAGAAAGAUAAAGUAACCCAUCCCAGGACCCACACGAAUGAAGGAGUAGACACGAGACCUGAACCCAGGUCUAUGUGACCCUGAGCCAGUGCCCUCCACUGCAUCACGAAGCUGGGUCACUCAUGCUGCCAAUAUAGGUGUCACAGGACAGCAGAGUUGGUGUCCAUGUCCUUGGCUAGACCAAGUGUCUUGGAGGACAGGAACUCAGUCUUCUUUACCCCCAUCAGAAGGCCUGGUACUACAUUAUCAUUAGGACAAGAAGCUAGACCUCUUGGGUCUCAUGACAUCCCCCCUGCAGGUCCUCUGAGCCUCCAUACGCCAGGCUCUCUAUCUCUCUAGGCCCAGGGAUAAGAGCCCUGGAGAAAACAUGGUGGGUGGUGCCAUCCACUGUGAGAGGGGAACAGAAAGCUCAGGACCACUGAGAUAAGGCAUCUGCUGCCCUUACCUGUGGGAUGCUGUACUGGUCGAUGACCUGCCAGAUAUACCAGUCUUCCUUCCGAGAGGUUUUCCUGAACCGGAAGGUUGUGACAAAGGCGUACUCAUCAGGUAAACCUUGGGGGAACACAUCCCUGGAGAAAAAUGGAGACAAAGACACCAGGCUUGGCGAUGAGAGCAGGGAGCCAGCAAAGUGAGCCCACACAACCCAGCAGUGAUCAAGCCCUGCCAAUUUGACUUCCUAAAUAUUUCCACCAUCCACCUUCUUGGCCUGCCUUCACUGCCUUCUCCUUAGGUCAGGGCCUCAAUGUGGCCUAGACCAUCGUCAUGACCCCCGAGGCUCCAACAUCAGCACCUUCAAAUCCAUCCCUAUGGUGCGUCUGCUUCCAUCUCUCCACCACCACCAUGACUCUGAUGACAUCCACAGUAAACGCUAAAUGGUCACGCCCCCGGGAUCAAAUAUGGAGAGACACCCAGCUUCGCUGCUCCCUGCUGCAUCCUCCUCAGCCAGGACAAAUGGAUAUACCUUAUCCUGCUUGGUGCCCUGUCCCAGAUGCCAGGAUGCCAUGGUCUGAAUGUUGCUGUCUUCCUAAAUCCAUAUGUUGAAAUCUUCACACCAAGGGAGACUCCAAAGAGGGAGGGGAGGCUUCAGGACUCCUCUGGCUGUGGACUGACACAGGAGGGCCCAUAAUAGAGGGUCCCGGUCACCAAACAGACUCUUUGAAAGGAUCCUCCACAUAUGUCGUAGACUAAGAAAUCUGUUCAAAGUCCUGCAUUUUCAUGUGUAAGUGGAACAUUCUAGACUUCUGAA